rnacentral:rRNA from 1 species
GACGAACGCUGGCGGCGUGCUUAACACAUGCAAGUCGAACGGUAAGGCCCUUCGGGGUACACGAGUGGCGAACGGGUGAGUAACACGUGGGUGAUCUGCCCUGCACUUCGGGAUAAGCCUGGGAAACUGGGUCUAAUACCGGAUAGGACCACUGCCUGCAUGGGUGGUGGUGGAAAGCUUUUGCGGUGUGGGAUGGGCCCGCGGGCUAUCAGCUUGUUGGUGGGGUGAUGGCCUACCAAGGCGACGACGGGUAGCCGGCCUGAGAGGGUGACCGGCCAAAGGGGGACGGAGAUACGGCCCAGACUCAUACGGGAGGCAGCAGUGGGGAAUAUUGCACAAUGGGCGCAAGCCUGAUGCAGCGACGCCGCGUGAGGGAUGACGGCCUUCGGGUUGUAAACCUCUUUCAGCACCGACGAAGCGCAAGUGACGGUAGGUGCAGAAGAAGGACCGGCCAACUACGUGCCAGCCGCCGCCGUAA